AUGUAGUGUCCAGCGGUGCAGGUGGAGGUUCCUAUAAUAUAGGAUCCGCUCAGUGGAUGUCUUCUAUAUAAGAUCCUUCUCCUGAUUGACCCGUCAAGGAUGGAUAGGAACAGGGACAAAAUGGCGGAGAGUAUAAUAAAUCUCACCCUAGAGAUCCUCUUCCGGCUUACUGGAGAGGACUACACAGUCGUGAAGAAGGUCUCUAGUGGGCGCUGUCAGGCCCCUGUGUCUGAAGGAUGGGGAAGAACCCUGAGCCCAAUCACAGGGCCUCCACCUCACCCCCUGAUACAUAAGGAAAUCAAUAGAGAGAAGAUCCUAAAACUUACCACCAAGA